rnacentral:rRNA from 1 species
UACGUAGGGGGCAAGCGUUGUCCGGAAUCAUUGGGCGUAAAGAGCGUGUAGGCGGCCAGAAAAGUCCGCUGUGAAAACUCGAGGCUCAACUUCGAGCUGUCGGUGGAAACUUUCUGGCUAGAGUCCGGAAGAGGAGAAUGGAAUUCCUGGUGUAGCGGUGAAAUGCGCAGAUAUCAGGAGGAACACCUAUGGCGAAGGCAGCUCGCUGGGACGGUACUGACGCUGAGGCGCGAAAGCGUGGGGAGCGAACAGG